GGAGGAAGUGGGGAUGACGUCAAGUCCUCAUGGCCCUUAUAGUGGGGCUACACACGUCAUACAAUGGCCGGUACAGAGGGUAGCCAACCCGCGAGGGGGAGCUAAUCCCACAAAGCCGAUCGUAGUCCGGAUCGCAGUCUGCAACUCGACUGCGUGAAGUCGGAAUCGCUAGUAAUCGUGGAUCAGCAUGUCACGGUGAAUACGUUCCCGGGUCUU
rnacentral:rRNA from 1 species